rnacentral:lncRNA from 1 species
UCACAUUGUAUUAGGUAUUAUAAGUAAUCUAGAGAUGAUUUAAGGCUUACAGAAAGAAGUGCAGAGGUUGUAUGUAAACACCAUGCCAUUUUAUAUAAGAAAAUUGAGCAUCUGUCAAUUUUGGUAUCCGUGAGGGUCCUGGAAGCAAUCCCCUACGGAUACAGAGGGACCAGUGUAAUGGGUAGAGACCAGGCUGGCUGCUAAAUAUUCUAGAAUGCACAAGACAAAGAAUUAUCUGGCUCAAAAUAUCAACAGUGACAAGGCUGAGAAACCCUCGUAUAGAUUAAACCAAGCUGGAGUCUGCAUGCUAGCAAGGAGUGUCAUGGUGUCUUCUCCCUUCUCCAAAUAAUGUAAAAUAACUUUUAUUAUGUACCAUGUUCUUUUCUUAAACUUUUUUUUUUUACUUAUUCCCCUAUUCCAUACAAUUAUAUUAUAAUAGAAAUAAAAGAUCUUUGCCUUUAAAGUUAGAGUAGAAGCAGGACCUGGCAUAGGCUUCUACCAAAGGCUUUCUUUUUUUUGCAAUCUGAAUUUUUCCCUUUCUCUAUGCAUGAUCUUCUGAGAUAGUCUACACAGAUGUCUUAUGUGGCCUUAUACCUUAGACAAAUGAAAAAUUCUUCCUUUUGGGAAGGCAAAUUUGCUUCUAUAACUUUUUCUCCUCUGCUUUUGUGAGUAUGAGAGAGUUUCUCUACUACAAGACUGUAGGAUAAAAGUUGGUAUAACAAAAAUAAAGAUUGAAAAGAUAAAAUGACAACCAAAAAACAAUGACAAAAUUGGAAUUCAGGAAUAAUCUUCACUUUGGCAAUAUGGCUAAAUAUAACUUGGGUUAGGGAUCUCUUGGGUUAGGAAUCUUUUUGUGUGAUAUAUUAUUUUGAAUUUAUAGAGCAUUGGUUUUUAACAAGUUUUUAUCAUUUUUAACAGGUUUUUAUCAUUUAAAAGGUGACUAGGGCAAUGGGAUUACCUCUGAUAUCAGAGAGUUGGCAAUCAUGUAACCCUGAAAGUCAUGGCACAAUAUGGCAGAACAAGCACGUCUGGGGCCUGGGAGUCCUGAGGUACUCUAGUAAUUGUGGUUUUCCUCAUACUCUCUGGAUCUGGGGUGACCCAGAACACAGUCAUAAUUCUUGAACUGUUUGCAAGUGCAAACCUUGAGAUCUUCCCAAGCCAGUCACCCAGUCGAUAAUCAGCUCAAGAUCAUCCCUAUACCCCGAGUAGAAUUAGUUGUCAAUAUUUAGGGCACAAAAUUCAUUUUGGUGAGAUGCCCUAGGCCAUUGACACUAGUCAUAUAAUAAUCUAAUGUGUUUGCUGCAAUGACACAUUGCAGCCCUAUGUCCUCUGAGUUCUGGCUCUAAUGUGGUAUUUCUUUACACUAGCUUUCUCAAUAAUAUGAACAGCCUGCCUAUGAACUGAAAUGUGAAGUAUGAUACCCACUAUUAUAUAUCUUUCCUUACUGCAAGUCCAACUAAUGGUUAUUAAUAUGAACAACUUACCUCCUGCUUGCUUUCAGCUCCCGAAUUUUUAUUGUCUGUACUUUUCCUGUAGUGAAGUAGUUUCAUAGCUCAGCAAAGCCUCAGAAUUUUUUAUGAACAGUCUCUAAAAGGCAGCUAGAUCUAGCUCUAAGACAUCAAGCAAAUGACCCAGGACUUGUUAUUUUUCUUGUUGGUUUCUGCGUAGCUAAGGCAAAGGCUUUUUCUUGGCCUCCACUCAGCAAUAUGCAAAAAGCUGAAGCUUUUAAAGUGGGAGAAGAAACAGAAGGAACAGAGGAGGUAAUUGAGAAUUAGUCACAUUUGUUAUUUUUAGCACUGCCUGAUUUUGUCUGGAAAUGGAAGUGAAACUAUAAAAACAGGUAAAGAAAAACAAUUUAAAGUCUUUAAAAAUAUUUUAAAAAUCAGAAUUCUUGGUUCAGUUAACUACAAAAUACUCGGAGACUUGGAAAAAGAUUGUUUUAAGAUACAAAUUAAGUGACAUUUUUGGAGUUGAUUAUUCUGGUUCAUUUAGAUAACUAAAAUUGGGCUGACUCACUGAAAAGAGCUACUUGCCACACAUCCUCAAUUAAGUGCAUUGUUAUUAAGAAGAGAGUUGGGGACACUCAUUUCAUUCAUUUUACUACCAAUGCUUGAUUUUGAGGAUGAUACUUUUGAAGCUUUGGGAUACUUAUUUUUCCCCUUUAACCCUGAAAUUUUACCCAUUAACACAAACUGUGUUUUUCAGGAUAAGCGCAUUUAAAAAUGUAUUCAGUAGGCUUUUAAAGUUUAGGGUUUUUUUUUUUUUUUUUUUAAAGAGGGAGCUUUAUAUUCACAGAUAUCCUCAAAAUGAAAAGUAGAGCUUCUAAAGCUAUUUCUUUGUAAGGAUUUAAAUUCAUUCACAGGCUGUUAAUUUGAAGGGUAUUUGAAGUUUAAAUUAUAAUGCAUCAGUCAUCCUUGAAAACCCAGGCAAUCAAUAUACACAAAUACAGAAUUCUGUAAACAUUAUUUUUGUCCACAGUUCAUUUAUACAUGCUUAUAGAAAUUACUCAUGCUAAACUGCAAUUUAUCAAAUCGCUGACAACAAAACAAAUCACCCUGUCAUAUUAUACUUAAAAUGUCAAUGUUUAAUACUAACUUCUUUCUACAUAAAGAUAUGACAUUUGAUUGCAAGUACUUAGUGAUACCAGGCAUAGUGAGAAGGAAAAGUGUUUCAUCUUAAGAAUCACUAUGCCAGUUAACAAAUAUACACAUAAUAAAUUACUAUUUCCUACAUUAAAAUGAUCUUCCAACAUGCUGAGAAAUUUAACACAUCUACCAAGUGGAAGUUGUUCAUAUAUCACCAUAGAGAUCAGAAUCAUCGCCUUUAGGUACACAUACUUAAAAUAAUCGCAAAGCCGUAUGCUCCCAUUAUAGAUCUCUUUCGCUUUUUACACAAAUGCAUUAACCAUGGGGCAAUCCUCUAUCAUUGAAAAUAGGUAGGAAGCACUUCUGAAUAAAUUACUUAAGAAUAAUGUGUAUUACACAUAGGCAUUCAUAGGAAUUUACAAAUGAUUUGGCAAUGUAUUUCAGGGAACUAAAUGCUAAAAUUUUGUCCAUUCUGUUAAAUUUUUAUUUUAAGAUUAGUUUUGUUUCUAUUUUCCAUUAUCUUUUUAUCAUAAAGUUAUUCAGAUCCUUCAGAGCACAGAGAAAAUUUUCAUAAUUGAAAUGGAAAAGUUAUUCCUUUGGAUGCAAAACAUGGAAAAUAAUCUGAUUACAUUAAUAACUUAAAAUGUUUAAUAACUGAUAAUUGUAAAAAGGUAAUGUUUAUAAUUAAUGCGAUAUUCUUGGGGGUUAUAAAUGUCUUAGGAAUAAAAUUUGGAGCAGGUAGAGGUGUAUUUUGCAAAUGAAUCACAAUGGAGCAGAGAAUCGAUUUUAAAUUUAAAGAGCCUUCAUUUGCCUUUUAAAAUAUCAACAGAGAGUCAACUGCUUUACCUUAUUCUUUCAUUUGUAUUCCUACCUAGUUCCACAGCCUCAGCUUUUUCUAGCACUUCAAUGUGAGACUCCCUCAUAUUCCCAAAUGAGUAUAGAAGGAUAGGGCAUAUUUAGAGAGGCAUGGAGUUUUCAUGAAGUAGGAGCUGUUUAUAACUUUCUUCCUAAAAAUAAAAAGUGGGUUCUCACUCAUGAAUAUUAGACUCCCUUUUAUAGAAAAAGUUUUGCAAACUUAUUCAGGACAGAUGUUCGGACAGAUACCAGUUUGCCUCUGAAGAAAAUAGGGCAGUUUAAAGUGGGUAUGUUCUUCAAAAUUGCAAGACAAUCACGAUCCUCUUAUUUGCAAUUCUUCCUAACCCCAAUUCCCAUAACUCCUGAACCUACAAAUGUUUUCAUUAUUUCUUUGACCUCAAUCAUUUCUUUCUCUUUGAUUUUUACAUCCCCUCUGAACUGUCAUUGGAUAGUUGAUUACCGUUUAUUUUUACUUUGAAAUUUUAAAUUUUCCUCAGUGCUUCAACCAUUUGAGUGCAAACAUCCACUUUUCAUUUGAAAAAUCACAGGACUUAUUGCUCUUUGAAGAAUCACUAAGUCAUAAAAAAAGCUUCAUUUCUAGGAUAUAUGUAAAAUUAUGACAAUAGCUGACAUGGUAAUAAAAAGACCCUGUGGCAUCUUCUGGUUUCUUCUUACUUUUCUCUUUCUUAUGAUUGAUUCUAGGAAGAAACAUUGUGCAUUGAACUUCAAAGCUGAGAUAUGAGACUCUAGCUUACUUCUAAGAAAUGCUUGAUUUCAUACAAAACAGUAGUUAUUUCUUUUCCUGGAAUCUUCGAGAUUCUCUCCUCAUUCAGGCUUGGUAUACAAUCACUUGUUCAGUGAGCCUUCUUCAACCCCAAUCCAAUCAACUCCCAGGCCCUGUCUUUCAUUUUGUCCUUAUCGCUAUCAUUACCUUUUAUUACUCACUAUUUGUUAAUUUGUUUCUUUACCUUUUUUGUCCAUUGGAACACAAGAUUUAUAACCAGAGGCAUCAUUUCUUUCUUGUUCGUUACUGCAAAGAACAAAACCCGCACAAAGAAGACUCUCAGGAAAUGCUGGCUGAAUGACAGAAUGAACAUUGAUAAAUGAAGACUUCUUCAAAUAACUGAUGCUAGACAUCUCUAAAUAUAUCAGAAAUAACAUGUGACCAUGACAUCAUUCAUCAUUUUUCCAUCAAAACAUUUGAAAAUAACUUGGAUUCAUUUAUUAGAGCUUUAUUUUCCCACAUCUUGCAGUACCCUAGAGUUCUACAGUAAUUAACCUUAUGCUGAAUGGCAGAGGACAUGCACUAAGCUCCUAUUUAAAAUCUAUUCAUGAUGCAUUUUAAAUAUUCAGUAGAGACUUCUUAAACAUGCAGCCAUAGUCUAUUGAAAAUGGAUUUCCUAAAGCCAGGAGAUUGGAUAUUAAUAUCUGGCAUUCGUAUAAAGACAGGUUUUUGUUAACCUAUUAUAAAAAGGACUGAUGAUGUGAUUAUAUACUGUUUACUAGCUCACUUAUAUUUCUGUGCUAAUAAUUACUGUAACCCAUUUGUUUAGUUUUUUUAUUUUAUUUUCA